AUGGCGACCGUCGCGGGGCUUAUCCGGCUCCUCCUCGUCGCCGCGCUGGCGCUGCGCCAGGCGGCGGGGGGCGUCAACCCGCCGCCGCCGUGCCCGCUCGACCUGGGCUACGUGCGCACGUUCCCGUGGGACCGCGCGCCGUGCGCGCCGCCGGUGUCCAACGUCACCGCCUGCUGCAUGACCCUGCUCUCCGUGCUCGGCAUCGGCCUCGCCGCGCGCCUGCGCGCCACCGGCCUCUUCCGCCUCCCGUCCGCGCCGGCCUCGGCCGCCUGCAUCCGCGCCUUCUCCGACGCGAUCGCCUCGCCGCCGCUCUCGCUCCCGCGCUCCCUCGCGCCGGCCUGCUUCCCCGUCCCGUCCCAGUUCGCCAUCUCCCCGUCCUACUGCGCCGGCGUCACCACCGCCGCGCAGUACGUCGCCGCCGUCGGCGGCGCGGCCGCCGGGGAACUCAACUCCUCCUGCGGCUCCAACCUCACCGACGCGUCCGUCUGCUACGCCUGCCUCGCCGCAGGGAUCCAUGCCUUGGCUCGACUCACAGCUGCCGCCGGCAAAGCCUCCAACUCCCUCAACUGCUUCUACCUCACCGCCCUCUACGCCGCCGGCGUGUCCAACUCCGCCGGCCCCACCUCCCCUGCCACCGCCGCAUGCGCCUUCGGCCUCGCUCUCGCCACCACAUCCCCCGCAUCCUCGAAUGCCUCGAGCUCCAUUACCCACACCAACAUCGCCGUCGCAACCGUCAUCCCGAUCGCCUCCGUCCUCCUCGUCUCGCUCAUAGCGCUGCUCGUUUGGACGAAGCGGCACGACGGCAUCAGCAGCAAGAACCGCGGUUUGUCCGACGAGCGGCGGCCGUCGCGGCAGCGACCCAACACCGGCUCGGUGCUGUUCGACAUCCGCGCGCUGGCGAAGGCGACCGGCGGGUUCGCGGAGCGGAACAUCAUCGGCCGCGGCGGGUUCGGCGUCGUGUACCGCGGCGUGCUCGCGGACGGGUCGGUGGUCGCCGUCAAGAAGAUGCUGGACCCGGACGUGGACGGCGGGGACGACGAGUUCGCCAACGAGGUGGAGAUCAUCAGCCACUUCCGGCACCGGAACCUGGUGCCGCUGCGCGGGUGCUGCAUCACCGACGCCGACGACCCCGACGACCAUGGCAGCAGGCAGAUGCUCCUCGUGUACGACUACAUGCCGAACGGCUCGCUCGACCGCUACAUCUUCGACCAGCAGGACGGGGCGGUGCUGCUGCUGCCAUGGGCGCAGCGGAGGAGCGUGAUCCUCGACGUGGCGAGGGGGCUGGAGUACAUGCACUACGGCGUGAAGCCGGGGAUCUACCACCGGGACAUCAAGGCGACCAACAUACUCCUGGACGAGGACAUGCGCGCGCGCGUGGCGGACUUCGGGCUGGCACGGCGGAGCCGGGACGGGCAGUCGCACCUGACGACGCGCGUGGCCGGCACGCACGGCUACCUCUCGCCGGAGUACGCGCUGUACGGGCAGCUCACCGAGAGGAGCGACGUGUACAGCUUCGGCGUGCUGGUGCUGGAGGUGAUGAGCGGCCGGCCCGCGCUGGACCUCGCGGAGCCGUCCGGGAUGGUGCUGGUGACGGACUGGGCGUGGAUGCUCGUCAAGGCCGGCCGGACGAGGGAGGUGCUGGCGGAGGCUCUGCUUCGGGAGGAAGAGUGCCGGGCGACCGUGGCGGCCAUGGAGAGGUUCGUGCUCGUCGGCAUCCUGUGCGCGCACGUCACGGUGGCGUGCCGCCCCACCAUGCCGGAGGCGCUGAGGAUGCUGGAGGGGGACGUGGACGUGCCGGACUUGCCGGACCGGCCGCAGCCGUACGGCCAGAGAAUCCCGUUCGACGAAGGCGAAGGCAACUUCAGUGCGUCGUCGGUGCUGAGCGGCCCGUUCCUGGACUUCGGCGACAUGCUCAGGUGA
rnacentral:rRNA from 1 species